GCGUCUGCUGAGAGUUCUUUGGC
rnacentral:miRNA from 1 species